GGGCUCCUAGCGUAACGGUAGCGCGCCUGCAUGGCAUGCAGGAGGUUGCGGGUUCAAAUCCCGCGGAGUCCA
rnacentral:tRNA from 1 species